GCAGCGGGCGUGGAAAAAUCCUACCACAACUAUUAAUCAUCCGGGGCGGACGUGGGCAGCAUCCCACUCCCACACGAGCCUUUGUCUCCUCAAACUACAACUUGAGCGGUGUCAGGCUGUCAUCGGGAUUAUUUGGCUCAACAUGACCACGCACUGAAGAGAAGCCCACGUUGCCUUUCGCCACUGCACCUGAACUCUCCUGUGACCCGGGCAGAGAAGUAUAGAGUCGAGUGGGAAGUUAUUUUGAGUUGAGAGACCAGGAAGAAGAUGGCAACCAAAGGGCCUCCAGAUGGUAUAAUAUUUUAUUUAUAAUUUUGUUCCACGAUUGAGAAAAAGAGUUUAAGAAUCAACAGUUUCUGCAUAAAAUAAAUGUUUCCGAGCAAUUCACACAAACGAGGGCUCCUCAUCAGUGUCAGGAGUUGGAGGCACAGACCUCUGGAGAAUGGCCAGACGGCGCUCCAUAUCUACCCACAAUGUUGACACUCGGAGCUCUUAACAGCCAGGCUUGGGUUACCGAUACACUCAGCCGAAGAUAACUCUUUCUGCGAGGUUUACACCGGCCAACAUCAAGGCUAAUGCGAAAUUCAACGCCGUAAACUGCCUGGAGCCAUCUCUCAUGGGCGUAGAGCACCGGGACGGACUACGACACGGUCAUUAUACGUACUCAGGUUGUUGUAAUAAAGCAGUUUGAAUUGUCA